GUUCUGUAUUGCAGAAUUUUGUCAAUCAUAAGCUUUUAGAAAUAUUACUAGUGGCAGUGAAUUAGUCAAUAAAUGUUGCUAAAAUCAGUAAAGGGAUAUGAGGCCUUCCCUGGACCGAUGAUGAGAGCUCCUCGGUGUGAAUUCUGGAUAAUGAAAGAAACAUGCUGAAACUCUGAGGUCCAAAGCAAAAGGAGCAUGAGCAAGGGUUGGCGGAGGACAGGGGCAUCUUUUUUCUGUGUUCUUUACGCUCCCCAGAAUGGACGCUCCAGAGAACUGACACAUUCUCCCAUCGUCACCUGCUUGGCUCACAUUGCCGAAUUCUGCCUUGAUUCACUAAUCUUCCUUUAUGAACCCAGUUGACUUCAAACUCCAGCCCUGCUGCCAAGGUACCUUAUGACUCAACCUAUCCCUUCAUAGCUAUGGGAGUAAAGGAAAUGCUAGCGUGUCUAAGAGACAUGGAACUCCCAUGUUUAUUGUAGCUCGACCUACUUGGCCUAUUGACAGAUAUAAUGUGAAUCAU
rnacentral:lncRNA from 1 species